rnacentral:rRNA from 1 species
UACGUAGGGUGCGAGCGUUAAUCGGAAUUACUGGGCGUAAAGUGUGCGCAGGCGGUUCGGAAAGAGAGGUGUGAAAUCCCAGGGCUUAACCUUGGAACUGCACUUCUAACUACCGGGCUAGAGUACGUCAGAGGGGGGUAGAAUUCCACGUGUAGCAGUGAAAUGCGUAGAGAUGUGGAGGAAUACCGAUGGCGAAGGCAGCCCCCUGGGAUGAUACUGACGCUCAUGCACGAAAGCGUGGGGAGCAAACAGG